UACGGGAGAAAGCCAGGGACCUUCGGGCCUUGCGCUAUCAGAUGAGCCUAGGUCGGAUUAGCUAGUUGGUGAGGUAAUGGCUCACCAAGGCGACGAUCCGUAACUGGUCUGARAGGAUGAUCAGUCACACUGGAACUGAGACACGGUCCAGACUCCUACGGGAGGCAGCAGUGGGGAAUAUUGGACAAUGGGCGAAAGCCUGAUCCAGCCAUGCCGCGUGUGUGAAGAAGGUCUUCGGAUUGUAAAGCACUUUAAGUUGGGAGGAAGGGUUGUAGAUUAAUACUCUGCAAUUUUGACGUU
rnacentral:rRNA from 1 species